rnacentral:misc_RNA from 1 species
GAUCAAGAACGUAGCGAAAUGCGAUAAGUAAUGUGAAUUGCAGAAUUCAGUGAAUCAUCGAAUCUUUGAACGCACAUUGCGCCCCUUGGUAUUCCGAGGGGCAUGCCUGUUCGAGCGUCAUUAUAACCCCUCAAGCUCAGCUUGGUGUUGGGGCCUGCUGCACUGGCAGCCCUUAAAAUCAGUGGCGGCGCCAUCUGGCUCUAAGCGUAGUAAUUCUUCUCGCUAUGGAGUCCUGGUGGAUGCUUGCCAUCAACCCCCAAUUUUUCUAUGGUUGACCUCGGAUCAGGUAGGGAUACCCGCUGAACUUAAGCAUAUCAAUAAGCGGAGGA